GACGAGGGAUCCAAGCGUUGUUCGGAAUUAUUGGGCGUAAAGCGGGUGUAGGUGGCUAUGUAAGUCAGGUGUGAAAGCCCAGGGCUCAACCCUGGAAGUGCAUUUGAUACUGCGUAGCUUGAGUGUAGGAGAGGAUAGUAGAAUUCCUGGUGUAGUGGUGAAAUACAUAGAUAUCAGGAGGAAUACCGGAGGCGAAGGCGGCUAUCUGGCCUAACACUGACACUCAGACCCGAAAGCGUGGGGAUCAAACAGG
rnacentral:rRNA from 1 species